rnacentral:rRNA from 1 species
AGAGUUUGAUCCUGGCUCAGAACGAACGUUGGCGGCAUGGAUUAGGCAUGCAAGUCGAGGGAAUGCCCGCAAGGGUGGAACCGGCGUAAGGGGCAGUAAGGCAUAGAUAACUUACCCUGGGAUUUGGCAUAGCCCGUAGAAAUACGGGGUAAUUCCAAGCGAUCUGGUUUGUGGGCAUCCACGAGCUAGCAAAGGAUUCUGUCCUGGGAGAGGUCUAUGUGAUAUUAGCUAGUUGGUGGGGUAAUGGCCUACCAAGGCGAAGAUGUCUAGCGGGUGUGAGAGCACGACCCGCGCCAUUGGCACUGAGAACUGGCCAAACACCUACGGGUGGCUGCAGUCGAGGAUCUUCGGCAAUGGGGGCAACCCUGACCGAGCGAUGCCGCGUGGAUGAUGAAGGCCUUCGGGUUGUAAAAUCCUGUCGAGGGGGAGAAAGGGAAACUUGAUCUAUCCCUGGAGGAAGCACGGGCUAAGUUCGUGCCAGCCGCCGCGGUAAUUC